UACAUAAAGAUCGAGCACUUGGAGCAGCUCAAAGUCAAAUCAAGGUUUCUAUAGCAAUGGAAAUCCUCAAAGUUCAAGGCUCUUGAAUAGAUAUCUAUUAAUCAGUUAGUAAUUAGAAGGUUGAGUGUUAAGGAGUUGAAACUAAUAAACUUUUCGUGUUGUAUGAUAGCUGGUAAACUGAUCAGCUACCUCUUGUAUGUUUACUUUACAAAAAGAAUAGGCGGACGGUGUAUUUUUAAGAUUUAUGAUGUUGGAGAUAGGUGGGGUAUAGGAUGGUUGGGUCAGGAACACAUUUUCUUUUGUUUAAAAUGAUUUUUGGUUAAAUUGAUAUUUGGCCAACACAAAUGACACCAAUGUUCUCUUCUUUUUUUAAGUUGUCGUAACAGUCUAAACUACCAUCAUGUAGUGGUAGGGCGACCGUGAUUAUGAUUGAAGAGGUACUCCCCUUGGUAACUCUCCUCGGUAAUUACAAGAAACCUUCUCGAUUCCGCCGAAGAAAGUGUGUAAGCCCUUAGUCAGAGUAUGUGGGGAUCACAAGUAUUAGGCCUAAGAGGUGGAACAAGAGUGUUGAAGAAGAACGAAAUGGGUGUAAUUCAUGCUUUUAAAUGCAAGGACACGAGGAGAAUUAUAGCACUCUUUGCCAACAAUUCAGCAGAAUGUCCAGUUUUUUGGUGUAACGUGCAGUCAUGUAAAAUGUCUCAGAAGGCAUUACUCGAGGUCAUGAAAGGAGAAGCUAUCCCCAUUUCCUUCGACCCAUCAGAGCUGAUUGGUCUCAAACAAACCUUUCCUUUAUGGAUACCCAACUGAAAUACUGACUUAUCAACUGCAGCUGCUAAAAAUCAGAUUUCACACAACCGUGGCAUGCCUCAUACAUAAAUGGGCCACGUACGUUUUACUGCUUUUGCCUUUCUAGCAAGCUCAAAGUAUAGUUGUAUAACUUUGUUCCAUAACUGAAUGUAUAUAAUAUGAAGCAUAUUAUCUUAAUAUUUA